rnacentral:rRNA from 1 species
UACAGAGGUCCCGAGCGUUGUUCGGAUUCACUGGGCGUAAAGGGUGCGUAGGUGGUGAGGAAAGUCGGAUGUGAAAUCUCCGAGCUCAACUCGGAAAUGGCAUUGGAAACUACCUUGCUCGAGGGUUGGAGGGGGACUGGAAUACUUGGUGUAGCAGUGAAAUGCGUAGAUAUCAAGUGGAACACCAGUGGCGAAGCGAGUCUCUGGAGCAUUCCUGACGCUGAGGCACGAA